AAGGUACCGAGAAUCACAUAACUUUCCUAUCUAAAGAGACGUCUGCAAUAGAGGGUUGCGAUGCGAUUUGAAAAUGAUGUGAGAUAUCAGCCUGCGUAUUCCACGUUUUCUUAUCUCUUGUUAAUAUAUUGAAGUUCUUAAAGCAAUAAGAGGCUACAUGUUUUUGCAUUCUUAUAUAGGCAGAAAAUUGCACAAGGUUAUAUUAAGAUAUGCUAACUAACUUUACAACUAACACUCUUUUCUUUUCGAUCCACGUUUAUAUCUUAAAAUAAAGAGAACUAGACUAUGAUUAUAAGUAAACACGACAUUUUUUUCUGUAAAACCUCAGGACCUUACCCCCUUCAAGUUUGCGCGUAUAAAAGAAAAAUUAAGCGUAAUAAAAUCCAACGACCACAUAAUAUUGUUAUUCAACCCCUUGCGACGCUUAUUUCCUUAAACUUUUACUGUUACAUUAGCUUUCACGUCUGCGAUCAGAUCGUUAAAGAGAAUCCUGUUUGUAUUUUUUAUCAUUGAUUGACUUAUUUAUAAAAUGCCGACAACUAUCAAGGAUAAUCUGGUUUUCUAUAACCAAUUAUUGCGGCCCACAACACAGCAAAUAUUCACCCAUAUGAACAGAACACCCUUUUGUGCACAAUAUACAAAACUAAUGUUCUUUGCAGUCAUUUGAUGUACAAGAUGUCGUGAACUGAAAAAGCAGCAAGAAGGCUUCCACUAUACAAAUAUCUUGCAAUGGGAUCUUAAACCCUUGUUGACGUUGAUGUCUCUAUUGGGUAUAUAAAUUCCAAGAAAAUAAACAGGAAAUCGCGAGAAAAUCCUGUAGAUCAGGAAGAACAUAAAUCUUUUUUUCUUUUAAGAUCUCAAGUCAAAGAUCAAAUGUCUUGCGAUAGCUUAGGACAUUUUGAUCCGAUCUAUAGACUCAAUAUCAUGAGACACAACAAGAUUGUCGGCUGGGUGCAACUGACGACAAAGCAGCGCAUUGGUGCCUCAUCGCAAAAGGUUACGAAAUGGAACUGGUGUAGAUGAAUGCAAUAAAGUUAGAUGAACGAGGUAUGGAGAGAGUUUCUCUCUCUUGAGUAUAAAUAAUAACCAUAAUCAUAAUAUAUAUAUCUUCUUGUUAGAAAGCAUGUGUCUCUCUGUGGUACACACUUGUGUCCACGCCCAAGUCACAACAUGCAAUAUCAAGGAUGAUUUAGCUUCGUGUAGAUAGAUGCUUCGAACAGUAAUGAAAAAAUAUUGCCAUCGAACAGCAAAACAAAAAUUUUUGUUGUUGAUCAUUGAAGCCAGCUGGAAAAAGGGUUGUUCGGCUUAUGGAGUCGAGUGGAUAGGAUGGUUAAGACGGAAAGUUGCAUAAAGUUGAAAGGUAUUCGACCAAUAUGAUACGAAGUUUGAGCAUGUUCUUCUUAAUGUGAUCAGGGUCUUCUUAAUAUGCAAAACUUCGAACGACUUGGUGUCGUCUUAGACAGAUUUAUGUUCUAAAUCAUUAAAAAUUCGUCACUUGAACUGAUUAUAAUUUUUGCAGUCUUUUUACGGCUUUAAACUCAUCUUUCCAGUCAACUUAAUUUGUCUUUCCAGCCAGAUUAGCUCUUUACCAAAUUUGAUUUUGAGCAAAGAUCACACAUUUCCCAGAAUUACUGUGAACGGUAACGCGAGAAAAAUGAGAUUGAGUUUGCAUAUUUUCUUAAUAACAAAGGAAUAGUUAAGACGCCUCCUCAAGGUCAACCUUAACACAUGCCACGAAUGUAUUGGUGUUUGACGGUGAAUAUCUAAGUCACUGUAAACAGCAUUUAACUUUGACCGAUAGGCUAAUGUUGUGUUCUCAGUGAUGCCAGAAAGAAGCUAAAUGCAUACUUCAUUUCUUGCUUAAGUAUAAUUGCUAAAACAGCAAGGAAGAAGCUUGCGAAAGGACUGAGGCAGAAUUUCAAAGGGAGCUCUUGUACUCCCUACGUGUACGCUUGGCUAAAUCGCCAUUCUCUAAGCAAAAUAACUAUUUCACUGGAAAUUUGGCCAAUGCACCGUAAUAAAGCCAAUCACACGACAUAGGUAGGGAAUCAAUGGGACAAAUUUUUGAGGUAUAGACACUGAGAGAUUUGUAGAUUCCUACGUUACCAAAUAAUUUGUCUGCCUGCCACUAUUACCAGGCUUUUCGUGAGUUCAACCAAAGUUCAACAGUAAAUUUUUCAGAGAAGAGUUAGGCCAAAUGAAUGUGCAAUCGAAUUUUGAAUAACGACGAUGAUUAUUGUUAGCAAUGGGUGUUUAAGAUUUGGUGGCUUGGUAAUUGGUUUUCUUAUAGCAUUAUCGAUUGAGCGACAGUGCAACGGUUUUCAUAAUCACUCACACAGAUGUGUUUUGUUUCCAAAUUGCAUCUGCCUGUGUAAUAUAAUUUACGUCAAAAUGCAGCGUAAUUGAAUUUGAUGCUCUUUAGUUCUUAAUCCUCCCUAAGGUUUUUUCAGAACUUGCUUUAACAUUCAAUUGGCUUAGCGCUGGACCUGAGCUUGGCAAAAUACACAUCGGAUCCAAGCAAUUUGCAUCAAAAGUAUACGAUUGGUCAACUUGAGGCAUCUUCGAGAAACUCACAAAACUGACAUUGUUUUGAUGCCUAAUUGCAUCUGAUCAGUAAAACAAAGCUUUCGACCCGUGAAUCUAUUGUCACGUAAUGCACCUAGGCAUCAAAACGGAAAAGAUAUGAAGUUGAAGAUGAACUCAAUCCCUGAGGAAAUAUUUAUGGGGAUUAUCACAAUUUGCGGCGAUGGGAAUGGAUCUUGUUCAUCGCUCUUGUAGCUUCGAGACUAGCAAAUGAGAACAGCAGAUAAAAUAGAAUUAAGUUGCUAAUUCUAAGUUGAGCACAAAGCAAAAAUGCUUAACUAAUUGAUGCUGAUGCAGUCAUUAUUCAUGUUUUAUUGAUGAGCAGUAAAUAAUUUAAAAGAUUGCUCAUGCAAAGCGCGCAGCCUUUCGCUCCGUUCUUCAAUAGAUCACACACAGCAAAAUUAAAACAGUCAAGUUUCAAAAGGUCUGCCACCAAACUGUUGUUGUUGCUGUUGCAUGGGUGAGGCAGUAGCAGUCUAUCCAUUUUAAAAAUCAAAUACGUUAAAGAAUGCAUAUAGAAUGGAUCUUCCUAGCCAAACAUAUGGUUCUGUUUUGAAAAAUCAUAAUUCAAAUUCUGAAAAAGGAUUUUUGUUUCGUUUUAAUUUGAUGCUGGAGGCUCACCAUUUUUAUCACUGCCACUUUCCUGCCGACAAAUGCCAAAGGAUCGCGUGUUCUUCUCUUGCGGCAAAUUUCAGCGUUGUUAUAAGGACAUGUUAUAAGGAUGAUACAAAUAAAAUUAUUCAAAAUAUUUCGGGAAAAAAAUUCGCAUACACUUAUUCGAAAUUGGCAACAAUAAUUGAUCGAAGCAACCUUUAUAAUGCUGGUGAUAAUUUUCUGCUUUGAUUCCUAAAAUUGAGGGAUAAGUAACUUUAGAGGUGUUGUUUCGGACCUGUUCCACCAAGAAUCCGGAUGCGAAAAGAGAGAUGUAAAUCGAGGAGUUUUAGUUAGACUAUCUUAGUUCUCUUAUUUUAUAUUGCCCACAUUCAUGCCUCACAUAGGAGUACGUUUUAUGCAAGUCUCUCUUAGAGCUUUAGACCUUACGGUCUUGUUAUUUUACGAAAAAUAAUCACAAAGCUCAAUGCUCUUCCGGUACUUGACCUUAUAAGGCGUACUGAGCGUAUAAAUUUUAAUUAGAUCUUGAUGGUAACAAUUUUCAGGGUAUAAAUCUUUGUGAGGAAACAAAUUCAUCAAACUUGGUGUAUUGGAUCAACAUUAUAAACUUCUCUCUGCUAUGAACACUUGAAUUGAUUUUUCGACUUAGAUUAGACCCUACUUUUUUCCGCCAAUUCUUUCCACACAGGAAAGUUAUGACCAGAAGAAGACACAAAUUAAAAUUAUUCAAGAGAUGGUGCAACUUAUACAUUAGCAGAGCAUUGUUAUGAGGACCAUCGUAUCCUUAUUUGCUAACGGUUUUUUGGUAGCAUGGAACAAAUAUCAAAUAUUGUAUUAUAUCAUUUAUAUUAUUUCAGCCUCACUCAAGAAAAAUAAGAACUCAAUUACUUUAUCGGGUCUAGGCAUUUUCCAAAGUAGGUAAUCGAGGCUAGUAUAAAAUGGUUCAUGCCUAUUGCAUUAAAGACUGAAAACAUUGUGUUAAAGUUAAGAUAAGUGAACGUUUUUUAGUACCUUUGCGGGAUGCUAUUCUCUUAGUGUUACAGAACGUAAUAAUGUCAUAGGUAUUAUGUCUAAGAAAUUCUUUUCAUGAAGUUACGAUCCAAAUUAAGUAAGUAAAAUUCGGGCAAGUCAAUCCAAUGAAGAAAACGCCGAAAGUUAAUGCACUUAAAGUCAUGUGAAUCCUCAACAUCUUUUAGAAUUUUGUAGGUCAUUUUCCUAUUCAUUAGAGGCUUUUCUAAGUAUAUUUCUUCGUUCUGUCAGCAUUGUGAAUGCAAGCUCAUUGUUAUAACUUUGUAAUAGAAUGCACAGACGUGUUAAGCUUAUUGCAAAAACUAUGUUUCAACGAAGGCUAUUCGCAGUUUGAGAGUGCAGCCAGCGAGUGAAAAAGCGCCACAUAUUUCGUUUGAUCAUACUACAGAAACAAUUCUUUCCUACUUUCUUUUCCAACACACUCUUACCACCUAAAAUGAUAUUUGGGUUAUCAAGCCUAAAGUCAAGAGGGUCUUGGCCAAUUUAAAUUUUACUUAAGUGCCCCCUUUGAUAUGUGAAGAUGUGAUUAGUUGUGCGUUGAAAUAACACGUUCAUGUGCAGGCAAAUGUUGCAAUGUUCCAUAUUUCCAUUUUUAAACCCUUGUCUAAAACCUAAGCACCAUUUAAACUUUUUAAAGCACAUUUGCCGAUUUGAGAUACUCCUACCAAAGCAUUGCAACCAUUUGAAGCCAUUAAAGAUCCAGUCAUUUGGAUAAUGGGGGUCCAUAAUUCAGGGCACAAAAAGAUUUCUUUUUUCCUGCUACCGGAGGAAAAUCAUGCACAAAUUUUCUGUAAGAAUGAAAAGAUAAAGGAAAAAAGAGCCAGGAUCGAACAACCGUGAUGAUUUGUCAUCAGUUUCUGUAAAUGAAAGAAAAAGCUACAUUUAUUAUUGUUUAAGCAAUUUUACUAUCACUAUAAAAUCAAUUUCUGUUUUGGUGACCUAAAAUUAUUUUUAAUUAAUUAAUACCUAAAUUGAUCCGGAAAAAUGGCUCCAGAAUCAGCCAUGAAUCAGCCAUGAAUCAGCCAUGAAUCAGCCAUGAAUCAGCCAUGAAUCAGCCAUGAAUCAGCCAACUGGAAAGAAUAUCCUAAGCUGAAAGUACGGCUAUAUCUGCAGCACGUUUUUUGGUCAUUUGCAGGUUCAUAAAUAUCAAAAUAUGCCUCAAAUGUAAAACAAUUACUGUUAAUAGAAAAAACAUGGAACAAAGGCCUUUGGGAGAUCUUUAUCUGCUAAGUUCUGUAAUCCACGCCUUUGCAGUUAGUGUAUGACCUAUCUCCUAAUAGAUGUAUUAUAUUUGUCUCGUGGGUUGUUGAAAACUAGCUGUUUUUCUGAUUGAGAUGUCUGAUAACGGAAAAUAGCAAAAUUGUAUCCAUACAUUUUUACUUUGAGGGGGGAUUAUGUCAUGUCAUGCUCAUUGAUGGCUGCCUUCUAUCCAUUUCUAGGUUAUAUGACGAGGAUACAUUUUAAAAAGCAGAUGCUGAUCUUAACUUCAUAAAGAUCCUGAGAAAACAUGGCCUGACAUGAAUAAUUUCAUUUUUCACCAGGAAUCGAUCAAUAAAGUUUAACGCAUUGGCCACUAUUUAUAACUUUGAAGACCAAAAAAGUCAUUUGACGUACAAUUUUUCAUUUACUACAUCUAUCUCUAAACAAUGACACACCGCACUUGACGACAAAGUCAGUAUCUUUAGCUUUAAUUUUUCUAAAAAUAUGUUUUUCAUCAUUUUUCUUGCAUUAUUUUUGAAAUUUCACCUUACUCCUUUGUUAGAAAGGUCUUCUGUAUAAUAUUUAGAUUAGAGCCUGCAUCAAGAAAAUCCAUUAAUUCCUUGGUGUUUUCACUAGUAGUCUUUUCAGUCACCCCGGCAAUUGGCUGACCAUAUGUCUACCUAUGCACAUGGCCAAGUUUUCAGGUGAUAAAUUGGACCCUCAUGGGGUUUUCUUCCAUUUGCUCUGAUGAUGAUGGCAAUGAUGCUCUUUCCAAAAAGUUGCUGUCUAAUUGCGCUGCUGGCAUUGGUUAUUGUUGCAGAAUUGAGCACAGAGACAGAGAUGGUUUUGUCAUCGCAUUGCAGUGGAGUCAGAUGGCGGCAUUGCGUCAAAAGAACGGCUCAUCAAACCAUAAAGGGAAGAUCUGAGCAAAGACAUCGUCAUUACAAUAAUUUCAGAGAAAGAAAAGGAAGACUAACUGUAAAAAAGGUGUCCUUAGUAUAUCUAAUGCACUGGUACGAGCGACGACAAUAAAGAGAUGCUAUGUAGACGACCUUUUUUUCGUUGUCUGCAGCUGUAUUGGGAGCGGGACAGUUGAUUAUUUCUAAUAUCAUUGGUACACAGUCAUUCUAAUAUCAUUGGUACACAGUCAACAACUUCAUUUAAAAAUGCUGUAUCCAAUAUGUUUGCUUUAUAUUACUGGCUCUGCAGAUGAAUUCUAUAUCCUGUAUGUUUAACUCAUUCCUGUUUAUAAAUUGAGUGAAAGGCACAUUUCGUUGUCGAUUCAUGAUCUAUAGCUCAAACGAAACUGCAAUAAAUUCUCGAACAUGUCUCUUAGAAGCUUAUUGAUUUAGCAAGCAUUUAGAUGGAGGCCAACUCUAAGGGAGAACUACACGAGGGGAGGGCGUUUAGUCAUUUCCAAGUCGCCAUGUAAUUAGCUCGUUUUUUGCUUAGCAAAAUUUUCAAGCUCGUUCCAUAUGCAAUCUUACGACAUAGAUAUUUCUGAAAUACCAAAAAAAAUUUAGAUAAAAGAGUCAAACAAGAAAAUAGCUUAGACCAAAAUAUUGACAAAUCUAUUGUAUUGUCUUGUCUUAUAGGUAAAUUCAACUUGUUUAUUUUCGGUUUUAUCUCGAUUAGGUAGGCCCCCGUGGGAAAUUGUUAAAACGCAAAAGUGGCUUUUUAUUGCAGGGAAUCAUUGGAGGGGAGCGUAAUAAUCGUCUCCACUUCUAGGAUGAAUCUUAUAUGAAAAGUAAGACCUUUCUCCAGGGGGUUCAAAUCGAGGAUUUCCGGUAAAGAACACAAGCCACCAAGAAGUAUUUUCUACAAUCCCAUUUUAGCAAUCAAAACAACUAAUUUUCAGCUUUAUUCAUACUAAGUCAGUAUUGUAUACUCCAAGGUAAAUUUUAGAAUACAGUGUUCCCAAAUCGAAAAAACAUUUCUGCUCAAAAGAAAUUUUUCCUUAGCUAUAUCGUUGAGUAAUGGUGAUUUUAUGAAUGGAAAAUUCAAAGUUAGACUUUAAAAAUAAUGCUAUAAAACAGUUUUUUAAUUUUGUUGCUAGCGGUGGCAAGGAGGUGGCUUCAU